rnacentral:tRNA from 1 species
GUAGCUGGCGGAAAUAGCUUAAUUGGUAGAGCAUAGCCUUGCCAAGGCUGAGGUUGAGGGUUCAAGUCCCUCCUUCCGCUC